UACGUAGGGGGCGAGCGUUGUCCGAAGUUACUGGGCGUAAAGCGCGCGUAGGCGGUCCUUUAAGUCUGGGGUGAAAGGUUCAGCGCUCAACGUGAACAGUGCCUUGGAGACUGGGGGACUUGAGUGUGGGAGGGGGCAGUGGAAUUCCUGGUGUGAGCGGUGGAAAUGCGUAGAUAUCAGGAGGAACACCGAUGGCGAAGGCAGCUGCCUGGCC
rnacentral:rRNA from 1 species